ACCUGCAUUUGGAAGCCGACCACGGGCUGCCUGUGCUCUGGUCAUCCAUAAUGCAGGGAGAGGAGUUGCUGAAAGCCAUUUCCCGUGUUUGAAGGGUCCACUCCUCCCUCUCAAAUGCUGGUGCUUUCACACA
rnacentral:snoRNA from 14 species